GGAGGGGUGCCGGAGCGGUUGAACGGGGCGGUCUCGAAAACCGUUAAGGGGUUUAGGCUCCUUCGAGGGUUCGAAUCCCUCCCCCUCCG
rnacentral:tRNA from 1 species